AUGACUUGCAACUACAUCCAGAGAACCGUAGACUUUGGGAGAUCUCGGCUGUUGCCUGCCAGACCCUGGUUGCUUCCCUCACAACGUCCAGAGGAAGAAUCGCCUAUCUUUUCUUGGAAACACUUGGGCCAUCUGGGACCAGUGCAUGGAUGCAGUAGACAUGUUCUUUGGACAGUGUGUCUGGACUUCCCUCCAUGGCCAGGGCUUGGACAAUGCAUGAUCAUUCCUCCUGGCUCCACCUACCCUCUUGUAAGGGCCAUUUGGACUGUACCUGCUCCAGGGAGGUUUAGAGAAGCAGCACACCUCCUCUCCCAAUCUCAGAAUUUGACCAAUAGAAGGUACAGUGGUCCUGUAAGUUACAUUGACUUGUGAGACAAACUCAGGAUUCAAAAAGCUUGACAGUGGAAGCCACCAGGCAGUCCUGGUCUUGUCUAUGUUCCUACUUGCUCCUCUGCAGGAUGAGGAAUAGUUAGGUUUGUGACAACCCCUACUACAGACAUCAAGCUUUUAGUGCACUUUCUCAGCAGCUGUCUCUGGUGAGUCAUCAGUUUGUGAGGUGCCUGAGCUCAGACUGCAUUCACACAGUGCAGGGUCAGGAGGCAGAGGAGGUACCGGCCGCGCUGCACGCUGCACUGAUGGGCUGCACCUGCACUGGGUCUAUUUCUGGUACCCACAUGCUUGGAAAACUAUAAAUGAUCCGGAACACAACACAAAAGCCAUAACACCUGCUUUGCCAAGGGCCCAGAGAAUGCUCAGCGCACAGCGGUAAAGGUUUGGGAGCUUCUAUGUAAAGGGCCACUUCAGGACAUGGGUUUACGUGAUCCCAAGGGACUGACUCAGAGACAGUCGGGUGGGAAUUUCAUGAGAAGUACCUGAGACUCACACUGUCUGCGUUGGCAGGAAGAAAGCAUCUCUGUCACUGAGGGUGUGGCCCUCUCAGAGGACCCAGGCUGGGCUGCCCCAGAGGCAGAUCAGCAAAGGUUUGGGUCCCCUCGUCCGACACUCUCUGAUUCUACUAUGUCUUCCAAAGCCAGACUGCCACUGAGGAGAAGGAACACGGAAAGAACAUCAUGGAAGAGUGCUGGCUCUUCGAGGAUUCUUCAAAGAUCUACUUCUUCACUGUGCCUGAGAAUCCCCCCAUGGAUGGAAUUUAUUCAUCUCACCUAAGAGAUCUGAUUUGCGAGAAUAAAUGCAUGGGUUCCUUUGUCAUCUUUCUUAUUUCUGUAAGGUUGGCAGUUGUGUCUCCUCUUGAUUCCGCUUUUUGUUAUUUGAAUUUUGUCUCCUUUUCUCUUGGUCUACAAAGCUAAAAUUUAUCAUUUUCUCCUCGUGUUUUUCUUCCCUUUCUCACCAUUGUGGGAUGACAGCACCGAUACAUGGGAUGUUACCUACCAUUUCCACAGCAGUGAGUUUAAGCUCGGCCAAGUAAAACAAGUUCCAUCUGAUACACAGUUAAGAUAGAUGAAACUCUGGGGGUCACAGCUGGGGGUCACAGCCACCCUCGCUCUGAGCACAGUCAGCGAACUCCAGCAGAAUCUCCAGUGUGGUCCGGCGAAGUCUUUGUCUCAGGGGUUCAGAUAUUUCCGUUUGUUUAGUGUUGCCUUCUCCUGUGUGCUUCAUCCUGCUUCCUAAACCAGCUGGUUUGCGCAGAACCAGUUCCGCCCUUGGACUUGAGCAAAUAAAGAUGUGCGCUACAGUGGUCUCAUUAUCUGUCCUCUGUUGUUCUGAGUCGGUAAUUAUUAAAGCAAUAACUUUUCUCUCCCCACUCUGAAGGAGGGUUGGGGAAACAUCUCAGAAUCACUGGGAGGCAACUGCAGCUCAGACGGCUGCCGGGAGAUCCAAAUGCUGGGCCAGGAGCUCUGUGUCCAGUCCAGACUUCAGGGAAUGGACGACCACAUAUCCAUUCUGUCUGUCUCCCUCCCUCUCUGUUUUCAUCCUAGUGUGUUAGUCCACAUAUCCAUAAUUACAGAAGGGGGCACUGUCUAUCAGUGUGUGCUCAGUAAAUAAAGAAGUUUUUCAUUGUUAUAUGUAAUGCAUGAUAUUUACACUUGUUCAGAUAUAUUAGAGUUCUCAUAUCUUGAUCAUUUUUGAUCCUCCUUCCCCUCUCCUUGGUUCCCUUCCUCCACAGGAGUUUUGUGUUUUAUUUAUUUAUUUAUUUAUUUGAGUUUUUUUUUUUUUUUUUUUUUUUUUUUUUUUUUUUUUUUUUUUUUUUUUUUUUUUUUUUUUUUUUUUUUUUUUUUUUUUUUUUUUUUUUGAGACAGGGUCUCGCUAUGCAGUUCAGGCUGGCCUUGAGCUCACUUUGUAGCCCUGGCUGGCCUUGAACUCGAAACAAUCCUCCUGCCUCAGCCUCCCAAGUGCUAGGAUUACAGGUGCACCACCACUCCCAGAUCUAGGAGUUUUGUAUUUUAGCCACAUCACACCCAGAGUUUAGAACCUAAAAAUGCAAUUCUAUGCAUCGGCUCUUAUCUAUACUUCCCACCUGACGCUGUAUUAUAAAUUAAACAUGUAAUUUAGAGUAAAAUACUUUAGCCAAGACACAGCUAUAUUUAAAAUAUUCUUGGUAUCGUUGCUAUUUUCUUACUAUAAUAAUUUAAUAAAAGGAUGAUUUUUAUAAACUCUCCCAAGCAAUAAAACUGAAAUUUAUCCUUGCAUAUGAAACUAAAUCUUCUGCAUUUUGGUAGCUUAAGGAAAAGUGAGCCAAGGAGUUUUCUGAAAGCUCCUGGAGAACAGGGCUGGCAGCAACAGGAUAACAAGCACAUGGUGUCACACAUCACGCGCCGUCUGAAUGUCGUUAGUUCCAAAACUGAGGUAGAUGCUCGCUCCCGGCGGGCUCAGCACUGCCUUCUGAGGCUCGCCAAUGCCUCCUGCACCUGCUCUGUCCUGGUCCUCCGGGCCUCGGGACUUCGCUGUUCUCCCGUUGAUGUCAGAAAAGCUUUGGUCAGUAUCUUGGUUACUUUUCUCUCAUUGCUG
ensembl:lincRNA